rnacentral:tRNA from 1 species
GCGCCCGUAGCUCAAUGGAUAGAGCACCAGACUACGGAUCUGGGGGCUACAGGUUCAAGUCCUGUCGGGCGCG